rnacentral:rRNA from 1 species
GUGGGGAAUAUUGGACAAUGGGCGAAAGCCUGAUCCAGCCAUGCCGCGUGUGCGAAGAAGGUCUUCGGAUUGUAAAGCACUUUAAGUUGGGAGGAAGGGCAGUAAGUUAAUACCUUGCUGUUUUGACGUUACCGACAGAAUAAGCACCGGCUAACUUCGUGCCAGCAGCCGCGGUAAUACGAAGGGUGCAAGCGUUAAUCGGAAUUACUUGGCGUAAAGCGCGCGUAGGUGGUUCGUUAAGUUGGAUGUGAAAGCCCCGGGCUCAACCUGGGAACGGCAUCCAAAACUGGCGAGCUAGAGUACGGUAGAGGGUGGUUGAAUUUCCUGUGUAGCGGUGAAAUGCGUAGAUAUAGGAAGGAACACCAGUGGCGAAGGCGACCACCUGGACUGAUACUGACACUGAGGUGCGAAAGCGUGGGGAGCAAACAGGAUUAGAUACCCUAGUAGUCC